GAUGAACGCUAGCGGCAGGCUUAAUACAUGCAAGUCGUGGGGCAGCAGGGGUAGCAAUACCCGCUGGCGACCGGCAAACGGGUGCGGAACACGUACGCAACCUUCCUUUAACUGGAGAAUAGCCCCUCGAAAGAGGGAUUAAUACUCCGUAACAUAUUGAUAAGGCAUCUUAUUAAUAUUAUAGCUCCGGCGGUUAAAGAUGGGCGUGCGCCUGAUUAGGUAGUUGGCGGGGUAACGGCCCACCAAGCCUACGAUCAGUAACUGGUGUGAGAGCACGACCAGUCACACGGGCACUGAGACACGGGCCCGACUCCUACGGGAGGCAGCAGUAAGGAAUAUUGGUCAAUGGACGCAAGUCUGAACCAGCCAUGCCGCGUGAAGG
rnacentral:rRNA from 1 species